rnacentral:rRNA from 1 species
GACAGAGGUGCCAAGCGUUAGGCGGAAUCACUGGGCUUAAAGCGUGUGUAGGCGGAAUUGUAAGUACCUUGUGAAAUCCCACGGCUCAACCGUGGAACUGCUUGGUAUACUGCUUUUCUUGAGCCACUUAGGGGCUGUCGGAACAAACGGUGGAGCGGUGAAAUGCGUAGAUAUCGUGAGGAACACCAGAGGCGAAGGCGGUUUCCUGGACAGUUACUGACGCUCAGGCACGAAAGCAUGGGGAGCAAAAGGG